CCGGUGCCAGCCGCCGCGGUAACACCGGCGGCUCGAGUGGUAACCGUUAUUAUUGGGUCUAAAGGGUCUGUAGCCGGCCGGAUAAGUCUCUUGAGAAAUCUGGCAGCUUAACUGUCAGGCUUUCAGGAGAUACUGUCUGGCUCGAGGCCGGGAGAGGUGAGAGGUACUUCAGGGGUAGGGGUGAAAUCUUGUAAUCCUUGAAGGACCACCAGUGGCGAAGGCGUCUCACCAGAACGGACCUGACGGCAAGGGACGAAAGCUAGGGGCACGAACCGGAUUAGAUACCCGGGUAGUCCUAGCCGUAAACGAUACUCGCUAGGUGUCGGCCACGGUGCGACCGUUGUCGGUGCCGUAG
rnacentral:rRNA from 1 species